rfam:Marchantia polymorpha subsp. polymorpha scaffold2015, whole genome shotgun sequence.
GUGUUCAUUGAGCCGAGAGAAGGUUAGCAACCCCCUUGACAAGGACGGGAAUUGGCUUCGGCCAUUCACACACCACGAGGUUAAGGCUUCCUGCCCCCCGGGGCGGAUCUAAACCAAACCAAACC